rnacentral:sRNA from 12 species
GCUGCAACAUCCCCGUUGGCUGGGCGAGCGCGUACCGUCGCAGCGAGCCGACUGCAUGC